rnacentral:rRNA from 1 species
GACGAACCGAGCGAACGUUGUUCGGAAUCACUGGGCUUAAAGGGCGCGUAGGCGGGUGCUCAAGUCCGGGGUGAAAUCCUCCAGCUCAACUGGAGAACUGCCUCGGAUACUGGGCGUCUCGAGUGUGGUAGGGGUAUGCGGAACUAUCGGUGGAGCGGUGAAAUGCGUUGAUAUCGAUAGGAACUCCGGUGGCGAAGGCGGUCUGCUGGGCAGUUUCUGACACUGAGGCGCGACAGCGUGGGGAGCAAACAGG